UAGAAGUUAUGUAAUUGCUUUAUCCCUUCUCAUACUUUUAUUUUACACAUUAAGUUGUGCCUAUGCCCACUAUAUUUUUUGUGAUUAUAUUAAUAUUUAAUUUUCUAAUAAACUAACAGGACUUAAGAAACCGUUCAUUUCAUUCAGGAUCAAUUAUUGAUGGAGUAGUUGGUUAUGCCAUCAUGGAUGCACACUAGCUUAAUAUCUUGAACGGGGAUGCUGGGAUCAUGUCACGGAUUGCUGUUGAGCAUGGAUAAUUUUUGAGAUUGGAGUUAGAGAGAGAUUGAAAGGCUCACAAAUGAUUUAGUAUGAAUCCUCCCCCACAUGAUUCAGACAUGUUGAAGCUGUUCUACCCAAGCCACAAUGCCCACGUGCAUAUUGUUAUAGAUGACAUGAACUAAUUUUAUUCCAUAGAGGAGCAGGACAGUUGAACAAAAUUGAAUGAAUGUGGACCUUUUUCAAUUAAUGUUUAGAAGCAAGAAAUGACAGCUAUUUAUUUAGUAGUUUGAAAGUUGUAGGAAGAAAUUGGUCCACCCUAAUGUAUAUAGCCCAUAACUACAUUAAUGUGAA